rnacentral:rRNA from 1 species
CAAGCAGUGGGAGCCUUCGUAAGAGGGUGACUGCGUACCUUUUGUAUAAUGGGUCAGCGACUUAUAUUCUGUAGCAAGGUUAACCGUAUAGGGGAGCCGAAGGGAAACCGAGUCUUAACCGGGCGUUAAGUUGCAGGGUAUAGACCCGAAACCCGGUGAUCUAGCCAUGGGCAGGUUGAAGGUUGGGUAACACUAACUGGAGGACCGAACCGACUAAUGUUGAAAAAUUAGCGGAUGACCUGUGGCUGGGGGUGAAAGGCCAAUCAAACCGGGAGAUAGCUGGUUCUCCCCGAAAGCUAUUUAGGUAGCGCCUCGUGAACUCAUCUCCGGGGGUAGAGCACUGUUUCGGCUAGGGGGCCAUCCCGGCUUACCAACCCGAUGCAAACUGCGAAUACCGGAGAAUGUUAUCACGGGAGACACACGGCGGGUGCUAACGUCCGUCGUGAAGAGGGAAACAACCCAGACCGCCAGCUAAGGUCCCAAAGUCAUGGUUAAGUGGGAAACGAUGUGGGAAGGCCCAGACAGCCAGGAUGUUGGCUUAGAAGCAGCCAUCAUUUAAAGAAAGCGUAAUAGCUCACUGGUCGAGUCGGCCUGCGCGGAAGAUGUAACGGGGCUAAACCAUGCACCGAAGCUGCGGCAGCGACGCUUAUGCGUUGUUGGGUAGGGGAGCGUUCUGUAAGCCUGCGAAGGUGUGCUGUGAGGCAUGCUGGAGGUAUCAGAAGUGCGAAUGCUGACAUAAGUAACGAUAAAGCGGGUGAAAAGCCCGCUCGCCGGAAGACCAAGGGUUCCUGUCCAACGUUAAUCGGGGCAGGGUGAGUCGACCCCUAAGGCGAGGCCGAAAGGCGUAGUCGAUGGGAAACAGGUUAAUAUUCCUGUACUUGGUGUUACUGCGAAGGGGGGACGGAGAAGGCUAUGUCGGCCGGGCGACGGUUGUCCCGGUUUAAGCGUGUAGGCUGACUUUCCAGGCAAAUCCGGAAAGUUAAGGCUGAGGCGUGAUGACGAGGCACUACGGUGCUGAAGUGACAAAUGCCCUGCUUCCAGGAAAAGCCUCUAAGCAUCAGGUAACAUCAAAUCGUACCCCAAACCGACACAGGUGGUCAGGUAGAGAAUACCAAGGCGCUUGAGAGAACUCGGGUGAAGGAACUAGGCAAAAUGGUGCCGUAACUUCGGGAGAAGGCACGCUGACAUGUAGGUGAAGCCCCUGCGGGUGGAGCUGAAGUCAGUCGAAGAUACCAGCUGGCUGCAACUGUUUAUUAAAAACACAGCACUGUGCAAACACGAAAGUGGACGUAUACGGUGUGACGCCUGCCCGGUGCCGGAAGGUUAAUUGAUGGGGUUAUCGCAAGAGAAGCUCCUGAUCGAAGCCCCGGUAAACGGCGGCCGUAACUAUAACGGUCCUAAGGUAGCGAAAUUCCUUGUCGGGUAAGUUCCGACCUGCACGAAUGGCGUAAUGAUGGCCAGGCUGUCUCCACCCGAGACUCAGUGAAAUUGAACUCGCUGUGAAGAUGCAGUGUACCCGCGGCAAGACGGAAAGACCCCGUGAACCUUUACUACAGCUUGACACUGAACAUUGAGCCUUGAUGUGUAGGAUAGGUGGGAGGCU